CUGAAAAGAAGACAAAGCACACAGUGGCGCUCACAAGCCAAACCCUGUUCUGCUAACUGCAAAGCUCAUGCUCAACCUGCUCAAGUACUAGACAAAGAAUGAAGAGCGACCAUGGCUUUGAGCUAGGUGACAAGCCAGCUUCUACAAUGCAGAUGAUAACAGUGCCCUAGGUAAUAACAGAGAAAAAGACAGAAGGAAACUGUUCCCUGAAUAACCGUGAGGAGCAGAGCUACUCAACAGACAUGGAUCACUCAUACCAGGCCUGUUAUAUGAGCGAUAAAUAAGCUUCUUUGUUAUUUGAACCAGUAUACUGUUGGGGUUUUUUUUGUUGCAGCAGCUAGAUUUUAACUAAUACAUUCCCCAAAUAGGAACAAAACAUAUUAAAAAUAUAAAAUAUAUUAUGAAUAUAAUUCAUUGUUCAGUAUUUACUUUCCUGAUCUACUGAGCUCCCUCUAUCAAUCUGCCUUGGCCAAUUCUUCUUCAACAUUACUUUGGCAGAUCCUAUUUUCUAAUAGGCAUAAAGACAUAACUAAUAGCAGUUUUGUCAUUUUGAUAACCUAGAAAUCACUCAAAGGCUCCUAAGCAACUCAAGCAGAUUAGGGUACCUUCUAUAUGCAUAUUCUUGUGCUAAAUGCUGGGGGUUUACAGAAGCCCAAGAAAUAGACUUUUAUUCAUGUAGAUUUCUUUUCUAAACAACUAGCACCAUCUCUUUUCUCCAAACAGUUCAUUUUGAAAUACUUUUCUGAAACCUGUGAUUUUGGCAUGGGAAAGUAUUGCUAUCCUUAUUACAAGAAAAGAAACUAAGUAUCAGAGGAGUUAAUAUAAUUUCCAAAGAAUACAAGGCUCUAUUCUGGGACAGAGGUCACCAUCUUUCUUCUCAUUGUCUAGCACAGUAUUCUUAAAGUAUGGUCGCUGGAUGCUCAUGUAAAACACAGAGCCCAGGUGUCCCCUCCACACCCACUGAAUCAGAACUGGCUAGGGCCUUGGCAGGAAUAUGCAUUUUUGACAAGUGUCUCAACUGAUUCUCAUAAAAACUAAGCACAGUACUGUCCUAGAUAAUGGACAUACCUCAAGCCAGCUCACAUCUCAUUAGCUUCUGAGAAAAAAAUUCAUUUGUAACAUUUAAUCUAACAGCAACCGCAUCCCAAGUCUCUUCCCCCAGAAUUUUAACCUUUUAUCUGCACUAGUGUCUCAAUUAUUUUUCCAGUUUUUUACCAACAUAAUCUGGCUUCUGGCAGCUACAGUGAUAUGGCAGAUACAGGCUUAAGUAUGAAUAAACCUUUUUUUCUUUGAUUUGGUUAAUAAAAGCCUGGAUUAUUUUUUCAAAAGGAACUUUACAAUAUAUAAAGAGAAAACAAAGCCAAAGAACCCCAAAGAAGAAAAAUUAAUUGGCAACUACAAGCUUGUCUUACCUUGGAGAAAGUCUUGCUUCCCUUGCUCAACUCAACCCUUUCUGGAGAACCCUGACCCAAGGCCCACCUUUUGGCCAAGCUGCCUUAAAUGCCCUGUUUUCUUCACAGACCUAUCCUUCAUCUCAGAUGGGAGCCAGCUGUAAUGCAGGAGAUAAUCUGACAGCCAACUUUCUGUGUGGCAAUGUUUAUUAGCUGUUCUAAAGCUGCUUUCCACUUUCCUAUGCUAUUGUCAUAGCUACUAUGCCUCCAUCCUUAACCACAUGCUUAUAGGCCACUGUCUACUCAGCACCUCAUGCCACUCUACUGUCAUAAAAUCAGAGAAAAUCCAUGCUUGAAAAUGACCAUGUGUAGAAAUCAGCACAUACAGGGCUGCUGUGUUGUAGAACUCCAAGAGGCACUGUUCACAUUCUAUUCCACGUGAACAGUGCCCGUGGAGUUCAUACAAUACAAAUGGCACCCUGGAGUUGUGCUACUGGCACUACUGCAUAAAGUCGUCCCUAAACCGUGCAUCAGAAUGAUCUGGGGAGCUUGUUGCAAUUAUGGAUUCUGGUCCUCUCCUCCUUCCCCACUCUCCUUUCUCUUCCCUUUACCUGAAUUGUGAUCCAUAGGUCUGAGAUGGGGCCCUUUUUAAAAAGCAUCAGUGGUGAUUCUGAUGAUCAGCAUGGUUUUGGAAUAAAUAAUCUCACCCAACUCUUCCAUUUUGCAGGUGAAAGAACUGAGUCCCAACAGGACUAUGUGGCAGAUCAAAGUCACACCCAGCUGACAAUUCAACCUGGCUUCUCAGAGGGUUGCAGUGGGAGCAUACUCCAGUUGCCCAUAGUGGUGAGUAGCUCAACAAUGAACCCUUGGAUUUGCUUUCCCUCCUUAGCUGUUUCCAGUCUUCCAUU